rnacentral:rRNA from 1 species
GACGAACGCUGGCGGCGUGCUUAACACAUGCAAGUCGAACGGAAAGGCCCUGCUUUUGUGGUGUGCUCGAGUGGCGAACGGGUGAGUAACACGUGAGUAACCUGCCCUUGACUUUGGGAUAACUUCAGGAAACUGGGGCUAAUACCGGAUAUGAGCUCCUGCUGCAUGGUGGGGGUUGGAAAGUUUCGGCGGUUGGGGAUGGACUCGCGGCUUAUCAGCUUGUUGGUGGGGUAGUGGCUUACCAAGGCUUUGACGGGUAGCCGGCCUGAGAGGGUGACCGGCCACAUUGGGACUGAGAUACGGCCCAGACUCCUACGGGAGGCAGCAGUGGGGAAUAUUGCACAAUGGGCGGAAGCAUGAUGCAGCACCGCCGCGUGCGGGAUGACGGCCUUCGGGUUGUAAACCGCUUUCGCCUGUGACGAAGCGUGAGUGACGGUAAUGGGUAAAGAAGCACCGGCUAACUACGUG